AUUGAACGCUGGCGGCAGGCUUAACACAUGCAAGUCGAGCGGAGCGGCGGACGGGUGAGUAAUGCUUAGGAAUCUGCCUAUUAGUGGGGGACAACAUCUCGAAAGGGAUGCUAAUACCGCAUACUAAUAGCUGAGCCUAAGUCGGAUUAGCUAGUUGGUGGGGUAAAGGCCUACCAAGGCGACGAUCUGUAGCGGGUCUGAGAGGAUGAUCCGCCACACUGGGACCUAGACACGGCCCAGACUCCUUCGGGAGGCAGCAGUGGGGAAUCCUGGGCAAUGGGCGGAAGGCUCAUACAGCCAUGGGGGCUGGAUGAGGCAGGCCCUACGGUUUUAACGCACUUGUAGAGGGCCGGCGUGACUCGGAGGAUAAGCACCGGCGAACUCUGGGCCAGCCGCCGCGGUAAUAC
rnacentral:rRNA from 1 species